UUGUGGUGGAAUAUUUUUGUC
rnacentral:siRNA from 1 species